AAAAGGAGGAAAAAGAAUAGAGUGUAACAAGCAGUUGGCUUGGAUCUGACAGAAAUCCCAAAGAGUGUUUGUGCCUUCUCUUAAGAGGGUUUGUGCAUAAUAGAACAAUGGCGUGAAUAGCAUAUCUCAUGGGCCUAGGAUCCCCUGAAGCCUAACGCGGACCACCAAAUGCUGAGGGGUUGAGCACAUCAGCAUAUAAUUUCAUUCUCCGUGUUAACGUCCAUGAGUCUCCCUCAUAAAACUCACAUAAGUCAAAACCUUGUCGUACCAGAAAUCUCCUCUGGCGACGGCGGAGGUUCAAACACCUUUAAACCUAUGUAAAAUUGUUCGUCCUUAAUCCCUCUCCCACAAUCUCAACUCCGUUUCUUCCAAUUCCUAACCUAAUUUCCAAAUCAACGUAAAAUGUCUAUGAACCCUAACAUUUCAACUCACAAUUAAAUACGGAAUAAGCAUGAAACAGAGCCCAAAACUUAGGGGUUUGGCUCCUUAGAGACGAAGCUACAUCACGGCGGGCGUUUUUUGCACGAAUCAAACAAAACAAGAAGAAGAGCUUACCUGUCAGAGCAGCUCUGGCGAAUCUUCAAGGUUGUUAUUGAUAAGAAGACGAUCCAAGAGGCUUUUAUUUCCUCAGGGCUAGUAUAGAAAGGCUUGCAAUGAUGUUUUGAUUAAGGCAUGAAAACAAGACAUGAACCAAGGGACAUCAACAUCGUUUUUCUUUGGAACACACCAAAAGUCAUGAAAAAGCUUGAAGACCAAGAUGAGAUGGCUUGUGAAAGAAGUAUGAUAUGAUCUAUGUUUAGGUAGUUAACUUUGGUCAACUGCUUGACCAAAAAGUCAAUAGUUGACCAAAAGUCGACUGUAGGCCAAGAAUGCGUAAUUUUGUAUGGGCUUGUGAUCUUGCAUUUGUAAUGAUAAUUUGAAUGAUCAUGUUAUGAAAUGGAUAAUGAAAUUGGUCUUUUGAAUGUGAAA